rnacentral:rRNA from 1 species
UACGUAGGGGGCUAGCGUUGUCCGGAUUUAUUGGGCGUAAAGAGCGUGUAGGCGGCCAGAUAGGUCUGCUGUGAAAACUCGAGGCUCAACCUCGAGAUGUCGGCGGAAACCAUUUGGCUAGAGUCCGGAAGAGGAAAGUGGAAUUCCUGGUGUAGCGGUGAAAAUGCGCAGAUAUCAGGAAGAACACCCGUGGCGAAGGCGGCUUUCUGGGACGGUACUGACGCUGAGACGCGAAAGCGUGGGGAGCGAACAGG